rnacentral:rRNA from 1 species
AGAACGAACGCUGGCGGCAUGCCUAAUACAUGCAAGUCGAACGAACUCUUCGGAGUUAGUGGCGCACGGGUGCGUAACGCGUGGGAAUCUGCCCCUUGGUUCGGAAUAACAGUUGGAAACGACUGCUAAUACCGGAUGAUGACGAAAGUCCAAAGAUUUAUCGCCAAGGGAUGAGCCCGCGUAGGUA